rnacentral:rRNA from 1 species
CAUGCAAGUCGAGCGGUAGAGAGAAGCUUGCUUCUCUUGAGAGCGGCGGACGGGUGAGUAAUGCCUAGGAAUCUGCCUGGUAGUGGGGGAUAACGCUCGGAAACGGACGCUAAUACCGCAUACGUCCUACGGGAGAAAGCAGGGGACCUUCGGGCCUUGCGCUAUCAGAUGAGCCUAGGUCGGAUUAGCUAGUUGGUGAGGUAAUGGCUCACCAAGGCGACGAUCCGUAACUGGUCUGAGAGGAUGAUCAGUCACACUGGAACUGAGACACGGUCCAGACUCCUACGGGAGGCAGCAGUGGGGAAUAUUGGACAAUGGGCGAAAGCCUGAUCCAGCCAUGCCGCGUGUGUGAAGAAGGUCUUCGGAUUGUAAAGCACUUUAAGUUGGGAGGAAGGGCAGUAACCUAAUACGUUAUUGUUUUGACGUUACCGACAGAAUAAGCACCGGCUAACUCUGUGCCAGCAGCCGCGGUAAUACAGAGGGUGCAAGCGUUAAUCGGAAUUACUGGGCGUAAAGCGCGCGUAGGUGGUUUGUUAAGUUGAAUGUGAAAUCCCCGGGCUCAACCUGGGAACUGCAUCCAAAACUGGCAAGCUAGAGUAGGGCAGAGGGUGGUGGAAUUUCCUGUGUAGCGGUGAAAUGCGUAGAUAUAGGAAGGAACACCAGUGGCGAAGGCGACCACCUGGGCUCAUACUGACACUGAGGUGCGAAAGCGUGGGGAGCAAACAGGAUUAGAUACCCUGGUAGUCCACGCCGUAAACGAUGUCAACUAGCCGUUGGAAUCCUUGAGAUUUUAGUGGCGCAGCUAACGCAUUAAGUUGACCGCCUGGGGAGUACGGGCCGCAAGGGUAAAACUCAAAUGAAUUGACGGGGGCCCGCACAAGCGGUGGAACAUGGGGGUUAAUUCGAAGCAACGCGAAGAACCUUACCAGGCCUUGAC